rnacentral:rRNA from 1 species
AGUGAACGCUGGCGGUAGGCCUAACACAUGCAAGUCGAACGGCAGCACAGUAAGAGCUUGCUCUUACGGGUGGCGAGUGGCGGACGGGUGAGGAAUACAUCGGAAUCUACUUUUUCGUGGGGGAUAACGUAGGGAAACUUACGCUAAUACCGCAUACGACCUACGGGUGAAAGCAGGGGAUCUUCGGACCUUGCGCGAUUGAAUGAGCCGAUGUCGGAUUAGCUAGUUGGCGGGGUAAAGGCCCACCAAGGCGACGAUCCGUAGCUGGUCUGAGAGGAUGAUCAGCCACACUGGAACUGAGACACGGUCCAGACUCCUACGGGAGGCAGCAGUGGGGAAUAUUGGACAAUGGGCGCAAGCCUGAUCCAGCCAUACCGCGUUGGGGAAGAAGGCCUUCGGGUUGUAAAGCCCUUUUGUGGGGAAAGAAAAGCAGCAGGUUAAUACCCCGCUGUUCUGACGGUACCCAAAGAAUAAGCACCGGCUAACUUCGUG